CGCGUAGGCGGGAUAUUAAGUCUCAUUUAAAAGUGCGGGGCUCAACCCCGUGAUGGGUGAGAAACUAAUAUUCUUGAGUGCCGGAGAGGAAAGCGGAAUUCCCAGUGUAGCGGUGAAAUGCGUAGAUAUUGGGAGGAACACCAGUGGCGAAGGCGGCUUUCUGGACGGUGUCUGACGCUGAGGCGCGAAAGCCAGGGGAGCGAACGGGAUUAGAUACCCCGGUAGUCCUGGCCGUAAACGAUGGGUACUAGGUGUAGGGGGUAUCGACCCCUCCUGUGCCGGAGUUAACGCAAUAGGUACCCCGCCUGGGGAGUACGGCCGCAAGGUUGAA
rnacentral:rRNA from 1 species